UGAUGUCAAUAAAAAGUAUAUAAAUAUUUUGAAAUGGUAAAAGGAAGAUUUAUUAAAUACUCAAAUAUAUGUGCCCCUUCAAUUCUCAAAUCAUACCUGAUUGAUUACUCAAUUUUGAAAUAUUUUAAAUUUAAUACUAGCCAUUUAACUUGUAUUGUUAUUGAUAACUAGAUAAUUUUUCCGUUAUCUUGAUGAUAUGUAUGUUUAAUUUCUGAUCUGAAAUAAAAUGGAAAUUACACAAUAAAUUAUAGUGUCAAGUAAAAGGGUGGAAAUACAGUUAGUGUAAGCAUUUUAAAUGUAGUUAUGUUUAGCUCAUUACCAAGGCUAAAUGCAUAUUUCUCAUUCUUAAUAGGUUUAUCGAUGAGCUUAAUUUUGAAUAUGUAAAAAUACUAGUUACUAUGGCACCAUAUUUCUUUCUUUAUAUAGUAACUGUUUUCACACAAAACAAAAAGGGUUUGACGUUACUUUAAGCUGAGGAUGUCCACAGUUGAUCUUUCUCUUAGUUGAUAAUGGAUAGGCAUUUUCAUAUUUUAUUCUGCCAUGUAAAUCUCAGUGAAGCCCUAAGCCCAUCUCAUCCUCUCACAGGUUUCCCUUCUAUGUACAAAAAAGUACACAAUUUAUUAAGUAAUGCAAGAGAUAGCCAAAUCAGACAGGAGCUAUUACAACCAAUUUUCUUGUUACAUAUUUUCAAAGGAAACUUCCACAAGGGGUAAAUAUUGAAUCUUAUGCAUUGAAAUUAAUGGAUCUCUAAGUAAAAUAAAGGGUAUAUUUACUGCUUCGUAAUUUUAAUAUGAUGACUCUCCAAAAAUGACCAAAAGGAGUUUUACGAUCACAGUAACUAUCAAAUACUUAAAUAACAACAACAGCAACAAUAAAAGUUAUCUUGUAACUUGAGGUUGAAUAAAAUAAGAAAAAUUCAAGAAAUGUAUUUUUAACAUAUACAUACAUAGAAUAUUUUAAUAAAAAUGGAUAUAUGAUAAUCACAUCCAAGUAAAACAAGUACUUUGAAUCAUUGCAUCUGCUAUAUGGUAUUCCUAACUUCUCCAGAUACUACUUUGCAAAUCCAAGGAAAAAAGAAUGGCAAAAAAGGAAACUUUGAAGUGAAUUAUUGGGAUAUGAUUGUGAAUCGUUUUUGCUGCAAGAAGCAUGGCAUGAAACACAGGAGUGUACAAACUGGGAAAAGUAGAGGCAAUAUGAAUUUAUGGAUUAUCUGGAACAUAUAUGCCAAAUCAAUGGUUUUCUAUGUUAUUUCCUAAAAUGGUUUUGUAAAUAUUUUAAAUCAAUGAACAAUAUUUGGAAUUUUCUGGAGUGCUUAUUAUAUCAAGUUUCUGAUUAUAAAAGAUGUAUACUAUAUUGUUUAAUAAAUUAUGUAAUUUAUCAGUUUAUUUAAAUACAAAAUUCUGAAAUUUGAAAAUAUCCUCUUAUUGUGAAGUCAAAACUACUAACAAGAAGUUCCUUGCUAUUUUAAAUUUGCUAAAUAAUGAUACUGUGCUUUUGAGCUCAUUAAAAGUGAUCAAUCCAAAUAAGUCAAAUAUAGUGAGAUUAUCAUCAUGCUAUUAAUAUGCUAGAGGCUAGAGCCUAUGUCUUCAGACCACUACCCACAUAAAAAGCCCAACUACUCAGACUUUAUACUAGUGAAGCGACUUGAUAUUCCAAAAAAAAAAAAAAAAAAAAAAAAAAA